CGCACCUUGCGCUCCUUGGUAUUCCGAGGAGCAUGCCUGUUUGAGUGUCAUGAAAUUCUCAACCUCUCUGGUUUUCUGACUAGUUAGGCUUGGAUCAUGGAAGUUGUUGGCUCAAUUUGAAUCAACUCUUCUUAAAUAUAUUAGCAAAGGCUUUUGCUGACCAUCAUUGGUAUGAUAAUUAUCUAUAUCAUUGGUAGCCAGUUCCCUUCACAGGGGGUCUUGCUUCUAAUCGUCGUUUCGACAACUUGACAACUUUGACCUCAAAUCAGGUAGGACUACCCGCUGAACUUAA
rnacentral:misc_RNA from 1 species